rnacentral:rRNA from 1 species
GAAUAUUGGUCAAUGGGCGAGAGCCUGAACCAGCCAAGUAGCGUGAAGGAUGACCGCCCUAUGGGUUGUAAACUUCUUUUAUAUGGGAAUAAAGGGUGCCACGUGUGGCAUUUUGUAUGUACCAUAUGAAUAAGGAUCGGCUAACUCCGUGCCAGCAGCCGCGGUAAUACGGAGGAUCCGAGCGUUAUCCGGAUUUAUUGGGUUUAAAGGGAGCGUAGGCGGACGCUUAAGUCAGUUGUGAAAGUUUGCGGCUCAACCGUAAAAUUGCAGUUGAUACUGGGUGUCUUGAGUACAGUAGAGGCAGGCGGAAUUCGUGGUGUAGCGGUGAAAUGCUUAGAUAUCACGAAGAACUCCGAUUGCGAAGGCAGCUUGCUGGACUGUAACUGACGCUGAUGCUCGAAAGUGUGGGUAUCAAACAGGAUUAGAUACCCUGGUAGUCCACACAGUAAACGAUGAAUACUCGCUGUUUGCGAUAUACAGUAAGCGGCCAAGCGAAAGCGUUAAGUAUUCCACCUGGGGAGUACGCCGGCAACGGUGAAACUCAAAGGAAUUGACGGGGGCCCGCACAAGCGGAGGAACAUGUGGUUUAAUUCGAUGAUACGCGAGGAACCUUACCCGGGCUUGAAUUGCAACUGAAUGAUGUGGAGACAUGUCAGCCGCAAGGCAGUUGUGAAGGUGCUGCAUGGUUGUCGUCAGCUCGUGCCGUGAGGUGUCGGCUUAAGUGCCAUAACGAGCGCAACCCUUAUCGAUAGUUACCAUCAGGUUAUGCUGGGGACUCUGUCGAGACUGCCGUCGUAAGAUGUGAGGAAGGUGGGGAUGACGUCACAUCAGCACGGCCCUUACGUCCGGGGCUACACACGUGUUACAAUGGGGGGUACAGAAGGCAGCUACACGGCGACGUGAUGCUAAUCCCUAAAGCCUCUCUCAGUUCGGAUUGGAGUCUGCAACCCGACUCCAUGAAGCUGGAUUCGCUAGUAAUCGCGCAUCAGCCACGGCGCGGUGAAUACGUUCCCG